rnacentral:rRNA from 1 species
AACGAACGCUGGCGGCGGGGUUUAGGCAUGCAAGUCGAGCGAGAAAGGGGAAACCCGAGUAAAGCGGCGUAAGGGUGAGUAAUAGGUAGUUCACGUAUCCUCCAGAUGCGGAUAAUUCCCCGAAAGGGGUUGUAAUACGCGAUGAGACCACGCGGGAUCAGUCCUGCGAGGUCAAAGGUUCGGGAUCCUUCGGGACCGAGCGCUGGUGGAGCGGACGACCUCCGAUUAGCUAGAUGGCGAGGUAAUGGCUCACCAUGGCGAUGAUCGGGUA